ACGGCGAGUGAGCGGCAGAGCUCAAUUUGAAAGCUGGCUCCUUCGGGGUCCGCAUUGUAAUUUGUAGAGGAUGCUUCGGGAGCGGUCCCCAUCUAAGUGCCCUGGAACGGGACGUCAUAGAGGGUGAGAAUCCCGUAUGGGAUGGGGUGUCCGCGCCCGUGUGAAGCUCCUUCGACGAGUCGAGUUGUUUGGGAAUGCAGCUCUAAAUGGGUGGUAAAUUUCAUCUAAAGCUAAAUAUUGGCCGGAGACCGAUAGCGCACAAGUAGAGUGAUCGAAAGAUGAAAAGCACUUUGAAAAGAGAGUUAAAAAGCACGUGAAAUUGUUGAAAGGGAAGCGCUUGCGACCAGACUCGCUCGCGGGGUUCAGCCGGCAUUCGUGCCGGUGUAUUUCCCCGCGGGAGGGCCAGCGUCGGUUUGGGCGGUCGGUCAAAGGCCCUCGGAAGGUAACGCCCCUAGGGGCGNCUUAUAGCCGAGGGUGCAAUGCGACCUGCCUAGACCGAGGAACGCGCUUCGGCUCGGACGCUGG
rnacentral:rRNA from 1 species